GUCAUGGCUCAGUGGCAGAGCAUAUGUUUUGCACACAGAAGGUCCCAGGUUCAAUCCCCAGCCAGUUAAGUU